rnacentral:lncRNA from 1 species
UUAUUUUAAGCACAUAGUGUUGCCUUGUACACAUCUCACAUAGGUUAUUUUCCUACGUCGUGUACCAUUUCAACUUUUUUUGGUAUUUGAUACAAAAUUGAAAUUGCAAAUGCAAAAGAUAGAUUGUUGCAUAAUCAAGUUGAGGUGGCUUAUUCCAGAAAUCAUGAAAGCCAAAGCAAAAUGCACCUUCCUAAAAUGGCACUAAUCAUUGAAAACAAUAAGACCAAAUCACAAGGGUUUCCAUGGAACAAAAUGGAAUAUGAAUUAUUACAACUAAACAACGCUUCAUCCUUUUUUGAUUUCAUUGUGUAAACAAAAUACAUAGUGCUUGGUAACCUUCAACUUGUUCCUAUCAUGUGCAGACAGAUAAGCAACAAAACAAAGGGAAAAUAUCAUUUGUUUUGCACUCCCUUAGCUUGCUCUUGAUUACGCUUCUCAUCCUUCAUUGCCUCAAUGUGUUCUGGUGAAGUUCAAGGAAAUUGACAAUCAAAAUGGGCUAGUUGAGUUUAUGAAAACUCCCAAUGCUUCGUAUCCGUUCACUUAUACAAACAAAAACACACAAGGGCGACAUGAAUCCACACGAGAAUAUUUUGUCCUCGCCAUUUUUUUAUAAAACUGCUUGUGUUUUGUAGGUUAUUUGUCAACACAAAUAUAGUUGAUGCAAAUUUUCCCAAAAGAACAUAUUUGAGAUUAACUACCAACGCAACACCAAAAAACAUAUUGGACAGAGUACCCCUGAAAUAGAUUAGCACACUAUGCAAAUCAAUUUAAGUAUAAGACAACGAAAUCCACAAAUCAACUAAAAAAGUUAGCCAUGACACAUGAGACUAAGUAGAUAACACCUUGCAUGAUUCUUGAUUCUUUACAACCGUAAACAUGAAAUAAUGAUGAACUACAAACCAGAUUGAACCUCUUUGCACAAGAAAGAAAACAAACACAAUCUGCAAGUCAUUCAACUCCUUCAGUUCCUUAAUCCAUUCUGCAGAAUAACAUUGCAAGCUAAAUACAAACAACAUACCUUGGUACAAUUGAAUUAAUAAUCAGGACAAUAAUGCAAGCAAGUCUAUAAGAAAAUCACAACUGCAAAACUAACAACUAUGGUAAAGCACAAAUGGCUACAUUCUCUAAUCUACCUUGCAUGGAAGCAAGAAAAGAGUGACCAAAACACACAUUAUAUCUGACCAUGGUCAAAAUAACAUUACUCAUUUCCACACUAAUAUCAUGGUGUUGAAAAUAAUAUACAAGACUGUUGAGAGCAACACCUUCAAACCUCUACACCUUUUUCUCGAACACGCACCAAACUGCAUGUUUAAACCACCCGAUUUGUUAAAAUGAAAUAAUGCAUCUCUUCGUCAUAUAAACAUGAGAUCGCAUCAGAACACAAUACAAAUUUGAACAUCUAUAGCCAAUGAUACACUCAAGAUGCGGGAAAAUCUCACAUUACAAAUUAACACUUAACAUAUUUUUGGCACUCGGGCCACCAUGUUGCACCAUGUGAAAUGUGUAAAAUAAAUGCAAAGAAGAAAAAACACUUUUUUCAUCUAGCAUCACAAAGUGAUAGCAUGGAAGUUCAUUUUCAUGCAUUAUCUUGUGGACAAACAGUAAACAACACUUCACUAGUUUCGUUUAGUUGUUUGGUUCCACUAAGAAUUGAUUAGAGUCUUAAUCUUUUUGUGUCGGUCAGAGGUAUUGUAGAUCACAUGCCGAAGGGACAUAUAUGGUUCUUCCUGUUUAGAAACUUAUCAAAGUUAUUAGCGUCAAAUUUGAUUUUCUAGACGCAUCAAGUACAUUCUUCAAUUUGUCUAUUUGUAACUUUCCAUAUCACUAACCGAAAAUUGUCUGGAAUCGAGUUAUGAAAAUUUGAGAAAGAGUUAGUAGUUAGUAGUCUAACUUUUAAAAAAGAGUUGGGAUAUGUAACUUGUCAAUGUAGAAUUUCAAGAUAAGGAAAAUGAGGGAGACAUAUUAAUGAGAAGGCAUUUUUUAUGGGAGAAGACACUACUCGUGCCGCUCUGCACUGGCCCAAAUAUAUCCAUAAAUCUAAAACCAAUAAACCACCUAACCAACCAAAAAACAAGCCAAACCACAAAAUCAAACAACCAUAGAGUAUCCACAUGCCAAUAGACUCUAAUCCAUCAAAACGUUAUGGUACAGAGAAAUAGACGCUAUGAAAUGCAGAUUGCAUAUCAAAUCAACCAACGGGAUAUAGGCCUAUCUAAUGAAAGGGAAAGGGAGGCAAACGAUCGACAUCACGACUGACAACCACUCCACACCGCUCGCUCCGAGGCACCAACCUCCCAAUCGAAAUAAGCGGGAAGAAGACCGACACUCCUAGCCACCAACACGCGAAGCCGAUCGCUCUGACAACGCCUACCCAAGGUCACCAACCUCUAAACCGACAAUCACCCCUCCACAACUUCGCUCCUACCCUCCAUGUAGGCUUCGAUAGAAGGAGGCACACAAAGAGCAAGAACAACAGUCGCCCUAAUAUUUUCCCUUCGACACCGACCCACGAAGUAGCGUAAGAGAUGUGUGACUCACGAAUACAUCGAAACAAACCCCUAUUCAACUCGAAGCAACCCCAUGGUCUCCCUAACACCCGUGGCAUAUACACGCACCUCCCAUUGAUGAGCAGGACCCGCCGACGAAACCAUACCUGCUCCCAUACCUCCAAUUCUAGAGACACAGAUCUUACUUAACCCAUUCAAAAGUGAGUGGCCCAAUUGGAAAUUGCAAACCUCAGUUAGAGCUAGUUUAGUGAAGUUAUGAAAGAUUGACAUUGCCCUCCCCACAAAUCAGCUACGGAGUAGUUAGCACACACACCAAAAAAAAAACUCAGCGCACAGACAUUUGUCAUCGCGCAACAACUCCCAACUUUCCCAAACCUGUGUUGCUAGGGUUAGAGAAGAGAGAAUGGCGAGACUCCCGAUGUUCGUCGCCUUUGCCGUCCGCCGCGCGGCCAACGCCACCACCGCCGCGGGGAAGGCCAUCUGGGACGGGAAGGGGCUGCUGCUGGUCGGCGGCGCCACGGUCGCCGCCUGGGCCUUCCGCGCCGACCUCCGCCGCCUGGCGCACCGCCUGGCCCACCGCCUGUUCUCAGACGACGGGUUCUCCGGUCGACUCGACUGGGGUCUCAGGUACAGGCUCUUCUUCUCCUCCUCCUCCUCCUCGGCGUCGAGCGCUCCCUUCUCCUCUUCCUCCUCCCCUCCCUCUGUUUGGCAGGGCACAAUACUUGAGCGCAAUCAUUUUGUGCAGGGUUAAGGGACGGCGCGAGGACAACAGAGGGGCGAGGAGACAGCUCGGGCAAGCGCACCAGUUCUACACGCGGAGCCACGGGGGGGCGGGCACCCGCUGAAUCAGGUAUAAAUCGAUUGGAGGUCGAUCUGACUGUUUGGGUUUUCUGCGGUCGUAGAGGGUGUGCGUUCGGUUGGAGGUGCAGCGGUACGAGCCUAUAGAACAGAUCCUAAGUAAGCUCGUGCGUUCGGUUGGAGGUGGAUCUGUCUGGUAAAUCGGUUGGCGGUCGAUCUGUCUGGUAAAUCAGUUGGAGGUCGAUCCGUCCGUUUUUAGGUCCUGCGGUAGUAGAGGAUGUGCAAGUUGGGAGUAGUCUGCCUGAUGAGAACAGCAUAAACAUAUAUACUUAUAUGUUAUAAAAGGAAUUAUACCAGAUUUAGUAGUAAUUUUCGUGAACUAUGCUUACUUUUUGGUUGAGAAAUGGCGAAAGCUAAACGUAAAAGGGACUGCAAGGUUGAAUUUCGUUGAAUUAACGUGGACUCGAAGUUUGUAUGUAGACCUGAAUUUUGUUUAAUUCUCGGCCCCUGUCCGCAAGCUGCCGUGUGACUUUAGCUGUUUAGUAGAGCAGUAGGCUAUAGGUGGACGCUCAGCAGUCAUUGUCUACAUCUGGGGUUUGUAUGUACAACUUUUCUGGGGUUGCUUGAUGACAGAGCUUGUAGGAACCCGCGACUCUACAUCUGCUUAUUUCAAAUGGUUUCCCUAAACCAACAAUCUCUAGUUCGGCUUCAGAUUCCAUUUGCUUUGUAUCUCGUUUUGCUUCAUUUGCAUCUACAACCGAGUGGCAGCAAUUCUGAACAAUGAUCCUAUUCUUUUUGUAGUAUUUGAGCUAGAUUUUACAAGAAUAUAACAUGUUCCUGGUUUUUUCUGAUUGAAUUACUAUUCAGUUCAUGGUUGCAUUCUUUGUCAAAAAGAAUAAUUACCCUGCUGAAUGCAUUAUGAUAGACUAUUACUCUCGAAGAAAUUACUCCCUCCGUCCCGUAAUGUAAGACGUUUUUUGACUCAACGUCUACAUUAUGGGACGGAGGAAGUAUUUGUCAUAAUAUAUGAUGCCUUUGUGACUCACUCACCAGAUCUUUCAUUGGAGUAUGUGUUUCCCGCUUUGCUAAAAUGUUUUUACUUGAAAUAUUCACGAAACAGAGCAUUGUGGCUGCAUCUUUUUUCUAGUGGCUCACCCAUUAAUUGAGUGGAACAGGUCUUUCUUACCUAUUAACCUUGUUUGUUUGGCUCUGCUGGGUCAUUUUUAUUGUGCAUCUAGACUGAUACCUCUGCCAUUCAUUAUGUAAUGUUUGGUUACUUCUUUAGGUUUUUAUGUUUCCCCUGCAGAGUCCUCAGCAGAUACAUUGUUAGUCGAUCUCAUUUUCGAGAAUUGCCUUUAGAUGACGACUGUGCCUCAAGGAGAGACCAGUGAAUGAUAUAUACAUAGCGUUUUCUGGGUUCAGCAUAUAGCCAAGAGGGUACCUACCUACAUAUUUUGGCUGUAAAAGGUUUCCAGUACACACAGUUCUGGGCACUUCUAGCUACUAAGUAGGGUGCUUUUAGCCUUUAAAAGAUGUCAUAUAGUGAGCUAUCCCUGAAAUGUUAGUGGUGGGUGUUAUUAAAUAUUUCCAGUUUGUGCCGCUCAUGUUUAUUUCUACGACUGUUUACAAAAUCAAUAUAAAAGUAAAUUCUUGAACAACGGUGAAGACUGCACCGGCAAAUGAGAUCCAAGUCUCACAAACAAAUAACGAAAGCCCUAUUGACCUUCUAAAUGAUUUGCCAACAUUUUCUCAUUUGUGCAUUGGCCAGAGUUACUGAUCAACUUUUUAUACUUUGCAGGUUAUCAGAAUGGGUGAAUACCGAACAGAGGGUUAGGCAUAAAUGGAGAUACACUUUCGGUUAACAAACUAGUGGUUUAGUCUGCUUAUCAUCUUUGAACCGUCGUCUAUUGCUGUUGAAUCAGUGCACAGAAAACUAGUGUUUUCAUCCUGUUAUCAUCUUAUUAUCGCUGAAUCUGAGACUUAUGACGUCGUCUAUUGCUGUUGAAUCAGUGGACAAAGGUUAUGAUAUAUAUGAUGCCGGGAUGGAAAUUUUUGCAAUAAAUCGUCGUCAUCUGUUGCUGCUGAAUCUGUUUGUUUGAGAUGCCUUAUAGUAAAAAUCUUGCUAGCUGUUUGGUUGUGCUCUGUUUCACAUUACCUUUUUUGUUUUGAGCUAAGGUGUUGUUUGGUUUGCCCCUGCUGGGGAUGCCAGCUCCUGGCCUGGAGCCUCCUGAUGCAUCCAGGACUCUGUAUAUGGUUCGUGUCCUGGAGCAUCCAGUGGUAGCCCGACCAGGACCUGUCAAAGCAAGUGAUUAGCCUGGAGGCGCGGCAGCUGCCCUAGGUCCUAAUUCAGUUUAGGCAAAGAGGGAUAGCUAGCAGCAGACAUCACAGUAGUGGUACUUGUUGGCUGCAUGGGACACGGCUCAGUGUCAGCUCUGAUGUCCUUCCCACCAUGGCUGUAGUCUGUAGAGCUUGCUUGAGGGAAUUUGCUGCCAUGUGUGACAGGUGACAGAUUGUCACGCUCUCCACACCAGCUUUCCUCGUGAAAUUCUGGACGUCCCAACUACACUCUGUCGCCGUCUGGUACGAUGGGUUGCGCCUGGGUUAAUGGCUGGAUGGAUAUGUAACAGUAGAGUGAAAGUGGAUAUGUAACAGUAGAGUGAAAGUGAUCAAACUGAGAAACGUCGUCAGGUGGCACUACCAUAUAUGAUCGACAUUUUCAGAUGCCUAUAUUGGUGAGAGCAGAUCCCUUCAGAGCUGGGAGUCAUUCUGUGACCAAAAGGGUGAUAUGAACAAGUGCAGACAACCAGAACAUCAAAAAACAUGUGUGUUAAUCAAAGGAAAACAAAUAAUUGAACUGCCAAACCAGGUUUGAAAUUGUACUGUGUGAUAAUAGCAUGAGUACCUUUUGGUAGACACAUCUCCUCCAUUGAACAAAUUGACGCUGGGCUAACCGGCAACAAUUUCCAUCUUGCAAAUACUCAGUAACCGACAUGCGGGCAAUGAGCUUUACCGCUGCACAAAAAUUCCGGUGAUCAAUAUAGAAUUCAAGAUCAGACAUACUAAUGGGAAGGCAUUUUUUUAUGGGAGAAGACACUACUCGUGCCACGACGCCCAAAUAUAUUUCCAUAAAUCUAAAAUCAAGAAACCAACUAACCAGUCAAACCACAAAAUCGAACAACCCUAGAGUAUCCACAUGCCAAUGGACUCUAAUCCAUCAAAACGGUACGGAUAAAUAGGCGCUGUGAAAUGAGAAUUGCAUAUCAAAUCAACCAACGGGAUAUAUGCCUAUCUAAUCAAAGGGAAACGGAGGCAAAAGAUCUACCUCACGACUGGCGGCCACUCCACAUCGGUCGCUCCGAGGCACCAACCUCCUGGUCCAAAGAAGCGGGAAGAACACCGCCACUCCUAGCCACCAAUGUGUGGAAGCCAGUCACUCCGACGACGCCUACCCAAGGUCGCCAACCUCUUAGCCGAUAGUGGCCCCUCCACAACUUCGCUUCUACCCUCCAUAUAGGCUUCGAUGGAAGGAGGCACACAACUUCGCUUCUACCGCGCGGACCUUCAUCGCCUCGCCGCCUAAAUCUUUUCCCUUCAACACCAACCCACGAAGUAGCGUAAGAGACAUGUAACUCGCACGCAUACAUCGAACCAACCACACGCCCUAUUCAACUUGAAACAACCCCAUGGUCUCUCCAACACCCGCGGCACACACGCGCACCUCCCCUUUACGAGCAGGACCCGCCGGCGAAACCAUACCUCCCAUACCUCCAAUCCUAGGGACACAUAUCUUACAUAACCCAUUCAAAACAAAGUGACCCAAAUUAAAAAUGAAAACCCAAGCUAGUUUAGUGCAGUUAUAAAAGGUGGGCAUUGCCAUCCCCACCCCACAAAUCAGCUACGGAGAGUUUGGAGGUGUUUAGCAAGAAACAAAUCUCACCCGCACAGACCAUCCCCUCCCAACUUUCCCCACCUCCUGUUGCUAGGGUUCGGGAAUGGCGAGGAUACCGACGCUCGUCGCGUUUGCCGUCCGCCGCGCGGCCACCGCCACCACCGCCGCGGGGAAGGCCAUCUGGGACGCCAAGGGGGUUCUCAUCGUGGGGGGCGCCGCGGUCGCCGCCUGGGUCUACCGUGCCGAUCUUGGUCGCCUCGCCGACCAUCUGUUUUCACAGGGCCGCACCCACACUCCAGAGGAUAGGGAUCAGAGGUGACAGCUUCGUCUCCUCCUCCUGGCGUUCGUCCUUCUCCUCUUCCCCCUCCACUCCCUGUUGGCUACGAGGGCAGGGCACAAUCCUUAUGCGUGCGAUUUGUGCAGGGUGAGGGCAAAGCGAGCGGCCAACAAAGGGGCCCGGAAGGUGGUGCGGGACGCGCACGGACUAUACUCAAAGAACCACGGCCGGGCGGGCGGACACUGAAUCCAGGUAUAAAUCGGUUCGAGGUCGAUCUUUCCGUUUGAGUUUCCUGCGGUCGUACAGGCUCCCUGCUAAAUCGGGUCGGUUAGAGUCGAUCUAUCUGCGGUCGGUUAGAGGUCGAUUUCUCUGUGGCAAAUCAGUUGGAGGUCGAGGUGGUAAAUCGGUAGGGGAUCUCCAUGUUGGUGUGCAUGUUGUGAGUAGGCUGCGUGAUUGGAACACCAUAAAAAGGAAUGAAGCUGAAGAAAAUUGCAUCGUUUCUCUAAAAAAACUGUAUAACUGAUGCCUUAUGUUUGCUUCAUCCCAUUCUGAUAUGACAGUCCUUAGUUUAUUUGUUUGUGUGCACUGCACCUGUAUUGUAUUUGCUGAAAUUUGUUGAAUUCGCAUGAACCCGGAAGUCUGUGGACCUGAACUUGUUGAAUUAUCCGCCCCUGUCCGCGAGCUGCAGACCUGUUUAGAUCACAAGUAAGCUGUAGAUGGGCGCUCUUUACUGGAGUAUUUCAUUGUUCUCCCUGUAAGAUUUUUGAUUCAAGGGGACAGAGCUUGUAGGAACAUGUGACUCUACAUCUGCUUGUCGAUCUGUCCAGAUGUGCAUGUUGGGAGUAGUCUGUGUGAGGGGAACAGCAUAAUAAUAAACAUGUAUAAAGGAUUAUAUCAGAGUUAGUAGUAAUUUUCUUGAAUUGUGCUUUGUUUUCCUGUUGAGAAAUUGCGAAAUCUAAAUCUAAAAGGAACUGCUAUGUUGAUUUUGCUUUCUCAAAGCUUGGCAAGAAAAUUGCAUUGUUUCUCUCCUUUCAAACCGUGUAAAUGAUGCCUUAUGUUUAUGCUCUUUCCAUUCUGAUGUAACAGUCUUUAUUUUAUUUGUUUGUGUGCAUCUGCUGAAUUUUAUUGAAUUCAAGUGGAUCUGAAGUCUCUAUAUGGACCUCAAUUUUUUUGAAUUCUCUGCCGCAGUCCGCCAGCUGCAGUGUGACUUUAGCUGUUUAGAUCACAAGUAGGCUGUAGGUGGGCGCUCAGCAGUCAUACGACGCUUUUCCUGGAGUUGCUUGCUUGAUAUUCCAUCAGUCUUCUCCCUGCAUCUCGUUAUUGCUUCAUUUGCAUCUGUAACCGAGUGGCAUCAGUGCUGAUUGCUGGACAAUGAUACUAUAAUUGAGCUAGUUUUUACGACAAUAUAGUCCUCCCUUGCCAUAUACCUGGUUGCUUUGUGAUUGAAGUACUACUCAGUUCACAGAUGCAUUCUUUGUCAAAAAGAAUACACCACCCUGCUGAAUGUAUUAUGAGACUAUUACAAUAGAAGAAUUUUUUUGCCAUAAUAUAUAAUGCCUUUGUGACUCACCAGAUUUCCCACAUUGCUUAGAUACUUAUACCAGUAACAUUCAUGAAUCCUCCCACAAAAUAAAUAAAUAAUGAAUCUGAUGCAUUGUGUUUGCAACUUUUUUCUAGUGGCUAGCCCAUUAAUUAAGUGGAACAGGUCUUUCUUACCUCUUAACCUUGUUUCUUUGGCUCUAUAAGGUAGCAUGGAGUGGUAUAGUCUUAGCUGCCUUCUAUAUAAAACAAAGACUACGUAAGGUGUAGAUUCAAGUGAUUGAAUCAGUUUUCUGUGAAAAAUCGAAUCAGUUUUUACUUCAAAAUAUGCAUCGUUAGUUGUAUUUCAUUCUCAUACAUUGCAAAAUGCCAAGAUACAUGCAAGUUUAACCAACACUAAAAAUUUGCAUCAAUGUGACUUUAACCAACUCUAAAAAUCCUUCAAGUCAAAGGAAAGAGAUUACAACUAUCCUGUCAGAGAUAUUUGGUAGAAGAAUCGAACAUAUUGUGGUUCACUACAUCAAACCAACCUGAUUGAUUGUCUGUUACACUAAAGCAAGGUUUUGGAGGGUUGCAGCGUUGCAUAUUUUGGUUGUAAUAAAAGGUUAUAAAAGGUUUUCAGUAUACAGUUCUGGGCACUUCUAGCUACUCAGUAGAGCGCGUUUAGCCUUUAAAAGGCUGUCAUAUUAUCACAUUGACCUGUGAGCUGUUCCUCUAAUAUCUGUGGUGGGGUUAUUAAAUAUUUCCAGUUAGUUUUGCUCAUGUUUAUUUUUAUGACAGUUUAUUGUGUGAUUAGAUUCUUUGGUCCAUAUCCAACUGGUGAGCUCUAUCAAAAUUAAUACGAUAGUAAAUUCUUGAACAACUGUAAAGAUUGCACCAGCAAAUGAUAUCAAGCCUCACCGACAAAUAGUGCAAGCCCCAAAUAGAAACAUAUAGGUUUAGUGGUGCGCCAGUAUAAGUUUAAUGGCCUUCUAAAUUAUUUGCCAACUAUUUUCUCUCAUUUAUGCAUUGCCCAAAGUUACUGAACAAGUUCUUGUAAAUUCUUUGCAGACUACAAGAGUGGGGGAGACAUAAUGGAUAAAGGGCGUAAAUCAAAUGGUGAUAAAAAGGCGUUGUACAAAUGGUGAAAAGUUUUAGGUGAAGACACUAGUGGUUUAAUCAAUUUCCUGUUAUAUUGCUCAAUCUGUGACUUGUGCGGUCAUCUAUUUCUGUUGAAUCCAUGACUUGUGCCGUCGUCAUCUGAAAUUUUGAAAUAAUGAUUGAGUGAUGCCAACUUCAAAUCUGUUUGUUGAGCUGGCUUAUGGUAAAAUCUUGCUAGUUGUUUGGUUGUUCUCUGUCUCACGUUACUUACUUGUUUUGAGCUAGGGUGUAAGCUAUUUGGUUUGCGUGUGCUGGGGUUGACAGCUCCUGGCCUGGAGCCCCCUGAUGCAUCCAGAACUGUCUAUGGUUCACGUCCUGGACCAUCCAGUGGUAGCCCGGCCAGGACAUGUCAAGGCGAGUGAUGCCUGGAGGAGCGGCAGCUACCCUAGGUCCUAAUUCAGAUUUAGGGAAAUGGAUAGGGCCAUGGCUGCAUAGCCUGCUUGAGGACAUUUGCCGCCAGGCGUGACAGGUGCCAGAUUGUCACGUUCUCCACACCAGCUUUUUUCGUGAAACUCUGGGCGUCUUGCUGAGACGCUCAGCCACAUCUCCAGAGAUGGGUUUCACCUGGGUUAACGGUUGGAUGGAUCAGGAGCAAGAUCCUCCCCUAUGGGACGACGCUGGUCAAUGCUAACACCAGAGCACAGAUCUGAUCCAAAUCAAACAGAGAAACGUCGCCAGGUGGCAUACCAUACAAACGACAUUUAGGUCGAGAACGCUUUCAAAUGCAUAUAUUGGUGAGAGCAGAUAUCAUCAGAGCUGGGAGUCACUACUGUGACUAAAGGGUGCUAUGAACAAUUGCAGACAACCAGAACAUCAAAGAAUAUCUGUGUUAACCGAAGGAACACAAAUAAUUGAACUGCCAAACCAGGUUGGAAAUUAUACUGUGUGAUAAUAGCAUGAGUACCUUUUCUGUCCGACACGUCUCCAUGAACAAAUUGAUGCGGGCUAAUCCACAACAGUUCUCAUCUUGCAAAUACUUGGUAGCCGACACAAAAACUCCAGUGACCAACAAACGUUGAAGGGAAGCUCACACUCCACCUUUAUUUACCUUAAAAAGGGAUAACAAAUGAGGACAAAGAGCUAGAACAAACGUAAAUGAAUUGGAAUUCUACUAACUGGUUCCUCGUCAUCCCUAGUUGAAUACUUCCCUAAUUUUAGCAGAAUUUCAUGAUAAUACGGUACCAAACAGAGAGGAAAAAGCACAGUUGGUGGAGGAGAGACUCAAGGAAAACAUGACAAGACACACACAACACAUUUUGGAUUGUCACACUUGUGGAUAUUAGUACUUUUUUCUAUAAAUUUGGAUAUUGCGGGUAUUAGUACUUUUUUCUAUAAAUUUGGUCAAACUUGAGCAAGUUUGAUUUUUGGUUCAUAUACUAAGGUUGCCACCAUUUGCCACACUUUUUGCCACACAGGCCUAAAAGGUUAGGUGACUAAAAUUGGGGCUACACUCUGCUUCGCUUGAGGUAAUCUUGCCACACUUUUCUAAGCCAAUGACAUGUGAGAUCUAGUUUGAAUGGAACGAAUCUUGCCACGAGUAUGACUGCAAACCAAACAGGGAAUUAACUAAGUCAAACUCGCGUAACUUGUGGCGUGCUAAAAUUGUGGCAAGCUUAGCAUCCCAACCAAACAAGUUAUAAAACUUCCAAGUGUUUUGGAACAGAUGAGUAGUGAUAAAAAUAAAGUCCCAAGGGCAUCUCUAGCAGAUCCCUUACAGGUUAUAUUUGAGGAGAAAAAAAAUGCCGUUUAGGGCAUAAAAGGUGCUGCUAACAUAUCCACUUAAACCAAAAUUUCCUCAAAUCUGGUUCCCCUCCCACAAAAAGAACCUCACCACACUCUCUCAGUAUUACUCUAGUCGCGGACAUUCUUAGAAAAAAUGGUACCCCCUCCUGCUGAGUUAUAGCUUUCCCGGCCAAUCCUGACGCCACCGCCCUUUGCCGCGCCGACAGUCGUCCUCGGCCCCGAUGACCGACAGAAUGGAAAGCCCCUCCCCGCCGCACCCCUAGCCACCCUCGUUGGCGACAAAUUUGGUGUCACAAGCACCAAAACGACGGAUGCAAGGGAGGAACAUCAUCAACACCAGUUCGGCGCCGGCAUCUGUCAUCACUCAUGCCGCCAUGACCAGCCUACCACCGUUGCCCAAGCCGCCGUCCGCCAAGGCGGUGGAGAGCACGACGACAACAAAGAAGAAUGCAGCCUUCCCGACGCUUCCCCUUCGACCUCCCACAGCGCCGCCGACUUUCACCUCCGGCAGCCAAGAAUGACUUGGAUUCAGACGAGACCAUGAGUGAGGCCGACAUGAUUGAGGAUAUGACCAAAAGUUUUUUCUUCUUGUUUUCAUUUUUGGUUUGCCUUGGCGCAGUGGUAAAGCUGCUGCCUUGUGACCAUGAGGUCAUGGGUUCAAGUCCUGGAAACAGCCUCUUACAGAAAUGUAGGGAAAGGCUGCGUACUAUAGACCCAAAGUGGUCGGACCCUUCCCUGGACCCUGCGCAAGCGGGAGCUACAUGCACCAGGUUGCCCUUUUUUUCAUUUUUGGUUUGCAAUGGAGUGAUGCAUGAUUUCAUAUUGAUUGCUAGGUUCUUUCUUUGCUUUUGUAGUGAACUACUGAAUCAUGAAGUUGUCGCUUUCAUGGAAGAAUUGAAUGUAACACACAACCUCGACGACAUUGACAUGUCAAUGCCAUAUGUGGAGGUGGUGGAGGAGGUCGAGAUGGCCAAGGAGGCCCAAGUGAACAAGAAAAGGAGUAGGUCAAGCAACUACAAGACCGAUGAAGGCGGCGAAGACAGUCCACUCAUGGGGACACCUUGUCUAAGUUGUGUGGUGGCAGCGGCAGUGGUGCUGCCGACAGUGACGACGCUUGUGCUGUUGUGCAUGAGGUCCAUUUGACCUACGAUGGCUCUUGGUCCACCAUGUGUGUGUGUUUUUAUAUGAACUUGUUCAUUAGGUGCCUUUUGGCAUAAAUUAUGGUUAUAUUUGAUGGAUAUGACCAACUUUAUUUAUGUCUGUAGUCGAAUUAUGAUUUGUAUUAUUCGAAUUGGUGUUGAAAUGUGAUGAAUUCGUUUCAAUUGUUUGAGCAAUUUUUUUUUAAGAAUUGGUAGAAUAAAUAUUUUAGGAUAAGGGAUCUGCUAGAUGAGCAAAAGUCAUUCCCUAAAAAAAUAGGAAAAUGGAACAGGAAGACUUUUUUGACUUUUAGGAUAAGGGAACUACUAGAGACGCCCUAACCCGUGUCCUGAAGUGACAAGAAGUACCCUUUAAGAAAAUUGAUCAUAUUGUAUCCCAUUUAGCAGUCCAUUUUCCAAUUUGUAUCCCACCUCGCGAUUUGACACGGUCCUCACAAAUGGAGCCCGCGUGCAUGGCAGGUUUGGUUCGUGAUUAGUUGCCACCGUGCAAAUGUGUAUUGUUUGGUGCCUCCUACGUGACUUUAAGCCCGAACAAGCUGGCAACCGAGCCACCAAAUGAGCCGCAGUGAUUUCUCUGGCGAUUGCCGCAGUUCACGCUACUCUAACUCCACAUAGCAAGCGUCCGGCAAUAAUACCGUUUCCGAGUGGCGCAUGACUGCUUCGCCGGUGUUGCAAGCGGCCCACGCCUGCUACUGAUGGUACGACUGGUGAUGCGAGAUGAUGCAUGCACAAGCAGACUAAGCCGGCCACCAAUGCUGCGACCAGAGAUGUGCUGCACAAUGAGAGAGAUGCGCCGACGCUAUGCCUCCACGAGCGUGGCGAGUGCUACUACCAGGGGGCGGUUGGCGGUGCUGCGAGCGGGAGAAGCAGUCCUACGGGCAAGGUGAGAGGGUGCGAGGGAGGACGACCCAGAGCAGGAGGUGCAGGCGAGGAAGACACAUGGGUGCAUGAUCUGGUGAUUACCAUCAGCCUAAUCCCACUGUGUGUGACAUGCCCGAUCGGCAGGCCGACGCCUGGCGUCUUCCACAAAAAUACACUUGAUUGUGUACGCGCCGUAGCCGGGGUACGAAUUUACAGCUGAGGCUUCAUUGGCCCGAGAAAGAGUAUGACUGUAUGGUGCACAUCCCCGUUCUGAAUACAAAUAUAUUUCUGAAACAGCUCACGACAAUAUGUAUUUACCACUACAGCAAGGUUAAUAUGCAGAGGCGAAUAUAGUGCUGAGAGCGGAAUCAAUAACAGAACAAAAAAUUAGGAAUUAUUCAUAGCUAAAUUUUCUUUUAUUUAUUGAAUGAAUAUGGAAUUAAUUUUUUUAUAUAAAAUCUACAGUUUCAUGUGUUGUAUCUAAGUCAAACAACUUUUGUCCGCUUUCUUCAAACUCCUACUGGUGCACCAAAGUCGGGUGACUUGGAAUCAACUCGGAUAAACAUGUAGAGAUAACCAAUGAACACCAUAGCGCCAGAUUUAAAUCGAACAAACUGGCAGGCCAAAUCUACAAUCAGACAAGAAAACAACUAGGAGUUCGUGAACACGUCGCCUGACUAUGAAAUAGAGUAGCCUGUUCAUAAAUCAUAAUGAAGGGAGAGGAGGAAACCUCAUAAGCAUCGCAACCUAGAAAACCCGAAAACGAAGUCCUGUGAAUUGCAAAAAGGAGAGGGAGAACUAACAAACCUUUGUGGACUAUAAGGCACGAAGAAUUGCUGCGCCCCCGCCCGAGCAGAGAGAGAAAUCUGCAGGAUUGAAAGAGGAAUUAGGAACAUACUCUAGAAGACAACAUGAAGAUUACCUCUGUCAUAACCAUGAUGAAGAGCACUCCCUGAGGGAGGUAGAUCUGCCGACGAGAAGAACCACGGGGUCGUGGCUGCUGAAUCAGGCGGAAAUAGACUAGGGUUCGUUCGUCCAUGAGAUCCGCAUCGGGCCUGGAUGGAGCGAGGGCAGAAGAUAAGGGAGGGGGGAAAGAGAAACGCGGCACUAAAAAACUGCCUGUACGUGAGCAAAACGCGGCUCCAACCGAAACCAGCGGCUGCAGAUGGGUCCGACCCCUUCGCGGGUCCAUGUUGUCAGUGUCCACGGGGUACGUGCGUCGGUUGGUUCGUCUCAAGGCUUCGUUCUGACCGAGGUGCGAUCUGAGAUCUGAGCCCCCAAUACCGGCACGGAAAGAAAUUACGAGAGCCUCUGACGCAGCCGAGUACUAUUUGUGGAGGGGACCGG